CCUAUGGGCGGCAGCAGUGGGGGAUAUUGCACAAUGGGGGAAACCCUGAUGCAGCGACGCCGCGUGGGUGAAGAAGCGCCUCGGCGCGUAAAGCCCUGUCAGCAGGGAAGAAAAUGACGGUACCUGAAGAAGAAGCCCCGGCUAACUACGUGCCAGCAGCCGCGGUAAUACGUAGGGGGCAAGCGUUAUCCGGAUUUACUGGGUGUAAAGGGGGCGCAGACGGCGAUGCAAGCCAGGAGUGAAAGCCCGGGGCCCAACCCCGGGACUGCUCUUGGAACUGCGUGGCUAGAGUGCAGGAGGGGCAGGCGGAAUUCCUGGUGUAGCGGUGAAAUGCGUAGAUAUCAGGAGGAACACCGGUGGCGAAGGCGGCCUGCUGGACUGCAACUGACGCUGAGGAGCGAAAGCGUGGGUAGCAAACAGGAUUAGAUACCCGUGUAGUC
rnacentral:rRNA from 1 species